rnacentral:misc_RNA from 1 species
GAGAAAUUAAAAGAAAAUAAAUAAUGGCGGAAGUUUUCAUGUUUUGCACAUAAUUGUUCUAAAAGUUCCAAGGAUACUGUUUUAAAGAUAAAAAAUUUAACAUCUAUAGCUACAUAAAAGUUGAGAAACAAUGACAGGGCAUGUUCAUUUAUUUAUUUUUAAAUCCAAAAUCUGCUUGCAGUCAGGAAUUACUCAGUGGUGAGAUUCUAGGAGUAAAACUUUCAAUUAUAACAAACCAAAUGAGUAUUAUUUUUUGAAGAGUGAAGAAUUAGUCCAUGAGACAGCUUAAUAAGAUAAAUGGUAUGAUGGGGACACUACUCAGUAUCUUCUUUUCAAAGAUCUAUCAUUCAGAAUGUGAAAAUUACUUGGAAUGUAAGAAACUAAAAUAUAAACAUAUACUGAAAUCUAAAAGGCUGGGAAACUCGUGAAUUGCCAAGAACCCAAUGACCAAGCCUCAAAAUGAAUCUGCAGAUAACAAAGCAUGUGCUAAAACUUAUCCGAAAGGUUUCAACUUUCAACACUUCAAUUUAAAAAAGAAGCAAA